CUUUUGACCAGGGACCAUAAUGCUCUGGUCAAAAGUAGUGCACUAUAUAGGGAAUAGGGUGCCAUUUGGUACAUACUGUAGACAUCUGGCAGCGGGACAGAUGCCAUGGCCAUGCUGCUAUAUAGAGACAUGUGGAGCUGAUUCAGCUGACUGCCAUCCAUAUUCAUUGUUACCAGUGUGAUAGUUGUAACAUGAAUUUGUUAUAUAGUUGUGGAGCCCGACGAGUGAGGGAGUGAUGACAGUACUACAGCUUGUCCCUCUCUCUGUUUCCCCCCAAUGCCUCCCUCCUAGACAGACCUAUCAGGUCUUUGUGUUCCUCUUCUGAGCCGAGCCCCAGAAAACACAAACACACACACCUUGCAGUCCCAGAAGUCUACAAUGAAAUUAAGCCUUGCUCUGCUGAAUAAUCAGAUUUAUGUCGUUCUACAUUCUUAAAAGGGCAAUUCCACCACUUUUCAACCUAAUUUUCAAUAUCUCCAGCACAAUACCAGUGUCUACGUAUGUUAAAACGGCACAUUUCUACAUUUUGUAGAAUAAAAUAAAGUAAACAAGUUCUACUCGAUGGCAUCAUCAAAAUUGAAAACAAUUUAAAAACAGUGAUUUUCAAACACUAUAAGAUUUGCGGUGAUGUGGGGAGCAAGAAAAACCCCUCCCACUGAGCACACCAGGUAAUUCCAAUGUGGAUAAUUGGGUAAUAUUUGGUUGAGACAUUGAUCAAUGAGAUUGGAAUUUAUAUUCACCCACUCAAAAAGAGCCAAAAGUUGAGUUUCAAAUGUGUUAUCACUAUGCUUGGAACCAUCUAAAAGCACAACCAAACAAUGUCAGAUUUUUGGUUUAGUUGUCACCAAAAUGUCUAUCACUGCACUUUUAACCAUGUAAAAGCACAGCAAAGUUCAAAUGUGAAUACAAUGUCAGAUAUGUUGUUUAUUUAUACAACAGAUGGUGUUACUCCUGUGCUUCAUCUAAUAGCAGAACCAAAUGACCUGGAUUACAGUUGAGAUUACAUUCAAAGUACAUGGUGCAAGUGAAGAACGCUGAUGGAGAUUCUGCACAGAUUAUUACAGCAAUUGUGAAGAUCUCCACAGACCUGUGAAUACCUACGCAUGCUAUCUUGAACAUGCAUGCUUUAUUUGAUUGAAUAAGAAGAAGUGUAUAGUUACAGUAACCUCAAAAUGUGGCCAUGUAUGUGCUACUCACUGUAAGGUUGAACGUUAGGUUAGAUUGUAAGAUAGCCUUACAUUUAUGCUAUUUAUUGCAGUGGUUCCAAACUGUGGGGCACAUUUCUUUUUUUAAUGAACUCAGUCCAGCUUUCAACUUACUCUAGAAGGUUGUAAUAGUAGAAUGCACAAGGUGCAAUACGAAAUUGUAGUGCAUCAUCAGUUAUCCUCCCUUGUAAAUAAGAAUUUGUUCUUAACUGACUUGCCUAGUUAAAUAAAGGUUAAAUAAAUACCUUAGAGAGCUAUUUAUAACUUAUCAGAAAUGUCCAGAUCAACUAGCCCAUGUCAGCUAGGUUUCUCAGCCAACAGAUUUUGUUGUAAUGUUUGAGUCACUCAUAUCACACGAAUAAACAUUAUACAUAGCAAAAUGUAAAGAAUUGCAAGAAAAUCAGCUUUAAAACUGCAACAUUUUCUCUCCGAGGGGUGUGAACAGUUUGAGUCAUGAACAGUGCUUGUUCCCAUAGAAAUAGAUGUGGUCGCACGGGGGGCACGGGAUGUUCCCUAACGCUGGAAUCUUUUACUGUAUUACAAAAGUAAUAUUGAAUUGUAUCCACAUUUAAAAGAGAUGUAUCUACUGAUGGAUCUGUGCCAUUGACUUAUUAGUCUGGCAUUAAUUCCAGUUUGUCUACAAAUUAAUUAUAUGUUGGAUUCACGUCUCCAUCUCAACCAAAAAUCUAAGUGAAAGAAUAAGACUAAAUCAAACUUUAAAUACACUUGAUAUAAACUUUAAUUUGAUGUAGUCCUAUUCUUUAAAUUUGGUUUUUGGUUGAGAUGGAGACAUGAAUCCAACAUAUCAAUUAUUAAUUUGAAAACAAACUGGAAUUGAAGAUGGAUAGUCACAUCUGUGCCACUGACUUAGUCUAAGCAGAAGAUACAUCUUCUUCAAAUGGUGAUGUUUGGUUGCGUUGACAACCAAACACAAUUCAAUAUCACUAAAUAUAAUUUGUUUUGAAAUAAUAAACCCUAGGCCUAUUGAAUUGUCUAUUUUUAGUUGAAUUGAACAAUAGCUGUUGAUGACUUUGCUAAUGCUACAUAGUCCUAAAUAGUAUCAUUGAUGAUUUAUGGUUGAUACAUUAUGGUCACAUUUAAUUUCCUCUGUUAAACCUACCCUUUAGAAUGGGUUCAAUAGCAACAGUGAAUCUAUUUAGUUUUUAGUUGGAGAGCUUUCAACAAUCCUUCUCACGAUAGCACAUUGGUAAUAGUCAGUGACAAAUAUCAUAACUAACCAGUGCUGGGCUUGGUUAAAACCCUGGAUAGGAGACCAAAUGGUAGCUGUAGAUAGAUACAUUCUCCAGUAAGGAGGUGCUACCCAGCCUAUGGUUUUUUAUUUGCUUGUGGAUAUAACGUUGAAGAUCUGACGUUGUUUUAAAGUUACAAAUUCAACAUAUUUUAGACAAUCUAUGUUGAAAUGUGGUUACCAUGGUGACAUAAUCCUGUGGAUGAAAUUUCACCAUCAAACCAAUGGUUGAUAAUUAUUUUCAAAUCGAAUGUAUUUUCCACAUCACAAUAUGUUGACAAAUUACGUUGAAACCACCUUGAUUCCACCAGUUUGUGCCCAGUGGGUUCUCUCUGGCUAUAAACUCGUUGCAGGUUUUGAAAAUCACUGUUUGUCUUACUUUUAAUCAUUCCCUGUGAUGUCACAAAGAAGCAUUUUUAAGAGCUUAAUUCUAAUCUUUUUAACCACAGAUCAUAGUAAUGUGACAUUUUCACAUAUAUAGACACUGGAAUGGUGCUGGAGAUAAUGAAUAUGAAGUUGAAAAGUGGCAGAAUUGUCCGUUAACAUUUCAUCCUAUUUCCCCUGGGAUACUAAUGUUGAUGAUUCCUCUCCACUCUGCCAUGGCUAUCUGUUUAUGUUACAUAAUGUCCCAAAUGGCUAGUACACUAUAAACAUAAUAGGGGGCCAUUUGAGACACACACAUCCUUGCUACAAAAGCACUCAGCACAUUCAAAUGACCUAAUCACUCUAGUAGCUACACAACUCACUGCAAAUCCAAACAUAUCAGGCAAAGGAGAUAGGAGAUGUAUUCCCUAUGCAAACAUGUAAUCCUUAUGCAAAGAAUCCUCAAAUUUAUCAGAUGUUUCAGGAUUUCUUCCCUGUACGAUCUCAUCUGGUGUGAUAAAAUAAUCCUCGUUCUGUGCAUCAGUUUACACAUCUAAAUGUACCUAGCUAUAUUUAAUGUAUAGCUAUCACAUGAUAGGAGUAAAGCAGCUUAUAUCUAUAUGUGAUGGCAUACACUUAAACACUCCAUGCGUGGUGUAACUGUUCCAGAGUCAAGUUAUGCCUAGUUGGAGUCAUUGUGUACAGUGAGUGAGAGAUUGCAAUACACCUUGUUCUGCUUGGCUACAAACUUUUUUUAUUAUGUGAGUAGAUCUGCCCUCUGCUGGGCAAUAUUGAGACACCACUAGUGACAUAACUUGAUGAGGCUUGCCUUGCUGUCUGUCUAUCACCCGCUUUAAAGGUACAAUAUGCAGAAAUCGCUUCACCAUUUCCUGGUAGUGAAAAUUCUUAAUAAACUCUGAACAUGAAUACAUGGGCAAAUGUUACGAAACAUGAUAAUAAUAGGCCUGCAUUAUGGUAGGCAGCUAAUUGUUAAAUUACAUUUUCCAACCUUACCUUGGAAGGCCACUGUCUCUGCACUGAUCUCCUGUGAUUGAGACAACGCUAGCUAGCCAAUGGGAACGUAGCAGAACCCCCUCUGAAUAACGGGGCGUGGUUUUGGCUUAACUGCGUUGGGAAAAAGAAAGACGCGAGCUCACCUGUUUGUAGACCUGAAACCCGGGAAUUAUUUACCAUUCAUAUGGCGAAAAUGAAUGAGGAAAGCAUAGGCUUUUGGGAUAAACGCAAAAUAAGGUCUGAGGAUAAUAUAGGCUUAGGAUAUCGUAUACGUUUUGUUCUACGAGAUAAUAUUAGUCAGUUAACAUUUCCUUUAUUAAUUAUGAAGCAUUUAUGUGCUUUUUCAAAUUACACAAAUGCUUCCAAAUUCACAAAAUAUGACGUUAGCUGAUGAUUAUCUCACAGAAGAAAACAUAUGUUUACCACAGACCUUAAUACAAAAAACUCUUUGUCCAUAGAACCAUGUCAGAGUUAGUUCCUACAAAAAGACGCCAUUAGGAUAGAAAACAAAAACUGUAUCAAGAAAUUAGCUCAACAUUGGAAAAAUUGCCCGUUUGUAGUAGUAAAAAACAACAACAAAAAAGCACGAGAGUUUCGCAAGAAUUGUCUGCUUUUUCUUGAAUAAGUCUGCUUUUAGGUAAUAAUGUUUCAUUGAACACCAUAUCCCAGAAAGCAUUGCGCCAAGGCAAAGCAGGAAGAUAUUUUUUCGUCUGCAACUUCGGGAAGUUAGCCAGCAGGGUUGUGUUGCUCAGGCCCUGGGGAGAGUGGUGUGUGUCAGAGUGUGUGUUACAGAAACACCAGCAGUGAGUGUAUGUCUGUCUGUAAUCUGCUUCCGCCGGCUGUUUGUGGCAUCGGCUGUGAAGUGAACAGGAAGACAGAGGGCUGAAGAGAGAGAAAAAGAAAGAAAGA